UACAGAGGGUGCGAGCGUUGUCCGGAAUCACUGGGCGUAAAGGGCGCGUAGGCGGCUCAGUAAGGUUGCGGUGAAAGCCCGGGGCUCAACCCCGGGUCGGCCGUGGCAACUGCUGGGCUGGAGCACUGUAGAGGCAGGUGGAAUUCCGGGUGUAGCGGUGGAAUGCGUAGAGAUCCGGAAGAACACCGGUGGCGAAGGCGGCCUGCUGGCAGUAGCGACGCGAUGCG
rnacentral:rRNA from 1 species